ACUCACACAGGUCUUAAGGUUUCGACCGUUUCUUCAACACUACACGACUACUCAGCACACUGUAGUCGUUUUUUCUUGCCAAACCAUGGGUUGCAACACGAGCCGGGGGGGCACUACAGUGGUGGACCCUUCUGAAAAGCCAGAGGAGAGGCCAAAGACUUCCACUUCCACCAAAGAAGAAGCCACAACGGAAACGAAUGGGAAUACAGACGAGGACAAGGAUGAAGAAAUGGACGAUGCAAGCUGAUUGCUAUCUUUACAACUCAUCCUACACUCUACUCAAAAUUGUCCUGUCCGGGGUGAAGGAGGGCCUGUCAGCAGGAGGAGGAGGCGACGCUGCACUACUGUCCAUCAACCUGCGUGUCAACUGGGCCAGCAACACACACACCAGAAGAAUUCUAGCUAUGUUUAUACUCGAGAAAAUGUUUUUGUGUUCAAUACACCCAUUCCAAUACUGUG